rnacentral:rRNA from 1 species
AGUGAACGCUGGCGGUAGGCCUAACACAUGCAAGUCGAACGGCAGCACAGUAAGAGCUUGCUCUUACGGGUGGCGAGUGGCGGACGGGUGAGGAAUACAUCGGAAUCUACUUUUUCGUGGGGGAUAACGUAGGGAAACUUACGCUAAUACCGCAUACGACCUACGGGUGAAAGCAGGGGAUCUUCGGACCUUGCGCGAUUGAAUGAGCCGAUGUCGGAUUAGCUAGUUGGCGGGGUAAAGGCCCACCUAGGCGACGAUCCGUAGCUGGUCUGAGAGGAUGAUCGGCCACACUGGAACUUAGACACGGUCCAGACUCCUACGGGAGGCAGCAGUGUGGAAUAUUGGACAAUGGGCGCAAGCCUGAUCCAGCCAUACCGCGUGGGUGAAGAAGGCCUCCGGGUUGUAAAGCCCUUUUGUUGGGAAAGAAAAGCAGCAGGUUAAGACCCCGCUGUUCUGACGGUACCCAAAGAAUAAGCACCGGCUAACUUCGUG